AGGAGAUGAUGGGUGCCAAGAUAGCUUGGGCAGGACCUGGAGGAGAUGACGGGUGCCAAGAUGUGUCCAGCAGGGUCAAGCAGAGAUGAUGGGUGCCAAGAUGAGUUUGGCAGGACCGGGAGGAGAUGAUGGGCACCAAGAUGGGUCCAGGAGAAACAGGAGAUGAUGGCUGCCAUGAUGGUUCCAGGAGAACCAGGAGGACACGACGGGUGCCAAGAUGGGUCCAGCAGGGCCAAGCGGAGAUGACAGGAUGCCAAAACGGGUUGGGCAGGACCAGGAGAAGAUGACGGGCACCAAAACGGGCCCAGCAGGGCCAAGCAGAGGUGACGGGCACCAAGAUGGGUUGGGCAGGACCAGGAGGAGAUGACGGGCACCAAAACAGGUCCAGGAGAAGCAGGGGGAGAUAAUGAGAGCCA